GGCGGCAUGCCUUACACAUGCAAGUCGAACGGCAGCGGACCUUCGGGUGCCGGCGAGUGGCGAACGGGUGAGUAAUAUAUCGGAACGUACCUUUCAGUGGGGAUAACGUAGCGAAAGUUACGCUAAUACCGCAUAUUCUGUGAGCAGGAAAGCAGGGGAUCGCAAGACCUUGCGCUGAUUGAGCGGCCGAUAUCAGAUUAGCUAGUUGGUGAGGUAAAGGCUCACCAAGGCGACGAUCUGUAGCGGGUCUGAGAGGAUGAUCCGCCACACUGGAACUGAGACACGGUCCAGACUCCUACGGGAGGCAGCAGUGGGGAAUUUUGGACAAUGGGCGCAAGCCUGAUCCAGCCAUGCCGCGUGAGUGAAGAAGGCCUUCGGGUUGUAAAGCUCUUUCGGCCGGGAAGAAAUCGCACAGGUUAAUACCCUGUGUGGAUGACGGUACCGGAAUAAGAAGCACCGGCUAACUACGUG
rnacentral:rRNA from 1 species